AGUGGCGGACGGGUGAGUAACGCGUGGGUAACCUACCCUGUACAGGGGGAUAACAGUCAGAAAUGACUGCUAAUACCGCAUAAGACCACAGCACCGCAUGGUGCAGGGGUAAAAACUCCGGUGGUACAGGAUGGACCCGCGUCUGAUUAGCUGGUUGGUGAGGUAACGGCCUACCAAGCCGACGAUCAGUAGCCGACCUGAGAGGGUGACCGGCCACAUUGGGACUGAGACACGGCCCAA
rnacentral:rRNA from 1 species